UACGUAGGGUGCAAGCGUUGUCCGGAAUUAUUGGGCGUAAAGCGCGCGCAGGCGGUCCUUUAAGUCUGAUGUGAAAGCCCUCGGCUCAACCGAGGAGGGUCAUUGGAAACUGGAGGACUUGAGUGCAGAAGAGGAAAGUGGAAUUCCAAGUGUAGCGGUGAAAUGCGUAGAGAUUUGGAGGAACACCAGUGGCGAAGGCGACUUUCUGGUCUGUAACUGACGCUGAGGCGCGAAAGCGUGGGGAGCAAACAGG
rnacentral:rRNA from 1 species